UAUGCUGAAACAGUUUAUGGU
rnacentral:piRNA from 1 species